UACGUAGGGGGCGAGCGUUGUCCGGAUUUAUUGGGCGUAAAGAGCUCGUAGGCGGCUCAGUAAGUCGGGUGUGAAAGCCCCGAGCUCAACUCGGGGAGGCCACCCGAUACUGCUGUGGCUAGAGUCCGGUAGGGGAGCGUGGAAUUCCCGGUGUAGCGGUGAAAUGCGCAGAUAUCGGGAGGAACACCAGCGGCAAAGGCGGCGCUCUGGGCCGGAACUGACGCUGAGGAGCGAAAGCGUGGGGAGCGAACAGG
rnacentral:rRNA from 1 species